UUGACGGAUUUCUUCGGAUUGAAGCCUUGGUGACUGAGCGGCGGACGGGUGAGUAACGCGUGGGUAACCUGCCUCAUACAGGGGGAUAACAGUUGGAAACGGCUGCUAAUACCGCAUAAGCGCACAGUACCGCAUGGUACCGUGUGAAAAACUCCGGUGGUAUGAGAUGGACCCGCGUCUGAUUAGCUAGUUGGUGGGGUAACGGCCUACCAAGGCGACGAUCAGUAGCCGACCUGAGAGGGUGACCGGCCACAUUGGGACUGAGACACGGCCCAAACUCC
rnacentral:rRNA from 1 species